rfam:Callithrix jacchus chromosome 16, whole genome shotgun sequence
AUCCAGUCUUGGUGCUCUGUGUUCACCUGGUUCAUCUGAGGGGCUGCAUCGACCCGACCCUUGCCAUAGAUCCUGACCUAUUUGCUUCUCCUGUUGCUGCUGCUGGACAGCAG